rnacentral:rRNA from 1 species
GAUGAACGCUGGCGGCGUGCCUAAUGCAUGCAAGUCGAGCGAACAGACGAGGAGCUUGCUCCUCUGACGUUAGCGGCGGACGGGUGAGUAACACGUGGAUAACCUACCUAUAAGACUGGGAUAACUUCGGGAAACCGGAGCUAAUACCGGAUAAUAUAUUGAACCGCAUGGUUCAAUAGUGAAAGACGGUUUUGCUGUCACUUAUAGAUGGAUCCGCGCCGCAUUAGCUAGUUGGUAAGGUAACGGCUUACCAAGGCGACGAUGCGUAGCCGACCUGAGAGGGUGAUCGGCCACACUGGAACUGAGACACGGUCCAGACUCCUACGGGAGGCAGCAGUAGGGAAUCUUCCGCAAUGGGCGAAAGCCUGACGGAGCAACGCCGCGUGAGUGAUGAAGGUCUUCGGAUCGUAAAACUCUGUUAUUAGGGAAGAACAAAUGUGUAAGUAACUAUGCGCGUCUUGACGGUACCUAAUCAGAAAGCCACGGCUAACUACGUG